rnacentral:rRNA from 1 species
CUUACCAUGCAGUCGAACGGUGAACACGGAGCUUGCUCUGUGGGAUCAGUGGCGAACGGGUGAGUAACACGUGAGCAACCUGCCCCUGACUCUGGGAUAAGCGCUGGAAACGGCGUCUAAUACUGGAUACGAACCAUGAAGGCAUCUUCAGUGGUUGGAAAGAUUUAUUGGUUGGGGAUGGGCUCGCGGCCUAUCAGCUUGUUGGUGAGGUAAUGGCUCACCAAGGCGUCGACGGGUAGCCGGCCUGAGAGGGUGACCGGCCACACUGGGACUGAGACACGGCCCAGACUCCUACGGGAGGCAGCAGUGGGGAAUAUUGCACAAUGGGCGCAAGCCUGAUGCAGCAACGCCGCGUGAGGGAUGACGGCCUUCGGGUUGUAAACCUCUUUUAGCAGGGAAGAAGCGAAAGUGACGGUACCUGCAGAAAAAGCGCCGGCUAACUACGUGCCAGCAGCCGCGGUAAUACGUAGGGCGCAAGCGUUAUCCGGAAUUAUUGGGCGUAAAGAGCUCGUAGGCGGUUUGUCGCGUCUGCUGUGAAAUCCGGAGGCUCAACCUCCGGCCUGCAGUGGGUACGGGCAGACUAGAGUGCGGUAGGGGAGAUUGGAAUUCCUGGUGUAGCGGUGGAAUGCGCAGAUAUCAGGAGGAACACCGAUGGCGAAGGCAGAUCUCUGGGCCGUAACUGACGCUGAGGAGCGAAAGGGUGGGGAGCAAACAGGCUUAGAUACCCUGGUAGUCCACCCCGUAAACGUUGGGAACUAGUUGUGGGGUCCAUUCCACGGAUUCCGUGACGCAGCUAACGCAUUAAGUUCCCCGCCUGGGGAGUACGGCCGCAAGGU